AACGAACGCUGGCGGCAGGCUUAACACAUGCAAGUCGAACGGGUGCAGCAAUGCACCAGUGGCAGACGGGUGAGUAACACGUGGGAACCUUCCUAGGGGUACGGAACAACUCAGGGAAACUUGAGCUAAUACCGUAUACGUCCGUGAGGAGAAAGAUUUAUCGCCCUUAGACGGGCCCGCGUCGGAUUAGCUAGUUGGUGGGGUAACGGCCUACCAAGGCGACGAUCCGUAACUGAUCUUAGAGGAUGAUCAGCCACACUGGGACUGAGACACGGCCCAGACUCCUACGGGAGGCAGCAGUGGGGAAUCUUGGACAAUGGGCGCAAGCCUGAUCCAGCCAUGCCGCGUGAGUGAAGAAGGUCUUCGGAUUGUAAAGCUCUUUUGCCAGGGACGAUAAUGACGGUACCUGGAGAAUAAGCCCCGGCAAACUUCGUGCCAGCCGCCGCCGUAA
rnacentral:rRNA from 1 species